UACGUAGGGGCCGAGCGUUGUCCGGAGUUAUUGGGCGUAAAGCGCGCGCAGGCGGCUUCGCGCGCCCGACGUGAAAGCCCCCGGCUUAACCGGGGAGAGUCGUUGGGGACGGCGGGGCUUGAGGGCGGGAGAGGUCGGUGGAAUUCCCGGUGUAGUGGUGAAAUGCGUAGAGAUCGGGAGGAACACCUGUGGCGAAGGCGGCCGACUGGGCCGACCCUGACGCUGAGGCGCGACAGCGUGGGGAGCAAACAGG
rnacentral:rRNA from 1 species